UACGGAGGGUGCAAGCGUUAUCCGGAUUCACUGGGUUUAAAGGGUGUGUAGGCGGGUAGUUAAGUCAGUGGUGAAAUCUCCAGGCUCAACCUGGAAACUGCCAUUGAUACUAUCUAUCUUGAAUAUUGUUGAGGUAGGCGGAAUAAGUCAUGUAGCGGUGAAAUGCAUAGAUAUGACUUAGAACACCAAAUUCGAAGGCAGCUUACUAAACA
rnacentral:rRNA from 1 species